UACGUAGGGUGCGAGCGUUGUCCGGAAUUAUUGGGCGUAAAGAGCUCGUAGGCGGUUUGUCGCGUCGACUGUGAAAACCUACAGCUUAACUGUGGGCGUGCGGGCGAUACGGGCAGACUUGAGUACUGCAGGGGAGACUGGAAUUCCUGGUGUAGCGGUGGAAUGCGCAGAUAUCAGGAGGAACACCAGUGGCGAAGGCAGGUCUCUGGGGCCGAUACUGACGCUGAGGAGCGAAAGCGUGGGGGAGCG
rnacentral:rRNA from 1 species